GUGGACGUGCCGGAGUGGUUAUCGGGCAUGACUAGAAAUCAUGACGUAGAUUCGAAUCCUGCCGUCCACA